UGGACGAGGGGCCGGAGGAAGAGGGGGGGGAGGGUCCCUCCUCUUCCUCCGGCCCCUCCCCCCCCUCUUCUAACUC
rnacentral:pre_miRNA from 14 species